AAGGCCGUUUUAUAGUCGUGCGUAAACUCGUGCGUACCCCAGCAGACCCCUCUGCGUCUACGCAGUAGCCUGAC